rnacentral:rRNA from 1 species
CUGCGGCAGCGAACGUAUCACCCAAGACAACUUUACGGAGUUGACGAUUGACGGAGCGAAGCGACGUCAAAGCGUUCAUUAAAGUCGAGUUGGCUUAGGGAUACGUUCGUUGGGUAGGGGAGCGUUCUGUAAGCCUGUGAAGGUGUGUCGUGAGGCAUGCUGGAGGUAUCAGAAGUGCGAAUGCUGACAUAAGUAACGAUAAAGCGGGUGAAAAGCCCGCUCGCCGGAAGACCAAGGGUUCCUGUCCAACGUUAAUCGGGGCAGGGUGAGUCGACCCCUAAGGCGAGGCCGAAAGGCGUAGUCGAUGGGAAACGGGUUAAUAUUCCCGUACUUGGUGUUACUGCGAAGGGGGGACGGAGAAGGCUAUGUUGGCCGGGCGACGGUUGUCCCGGUUUAAGCGUGUAGGUGUGUGUUCCAGGUAAAUCCGGUUCACUUUAACACUGAGGCGUGACGACGAGGCACUACGGUGCUGAAGCAACAAAUGCCCUGCUUCCAGGAAAAGCCUCUAAGCAUCAGGUAACACGAAAUCGUACCCCAAACCGACACAGGUGGUCAGGUAGAGAAUACCAAGGCGCUUGAGAGAACUCGGGUGAAGGAACUAGGCAAAAUGGUGCCGUAACUUCGGGAGAAGGCACGCUGACACGUAGGUGAAGUGAUUUACUCAUGGAGCUGAAGUCAGUCGAAGAUACCAGCUGGCUGCAACUGUUUAUUAAAAACACAGCACUGUGCAAACACGAAAGUGGACGUAUACGGUGUGACGCCUGCCCGGUGCCGGAAGGUUAAUUGAUGGGGUCAGCGUAAGCGAAGCUCCUGAUCGAAGCCCCGGUAAACGGCGGCCGUAACUAUAACGGUCCUAAGGUAGCGAAAUUCCUUGUCGGGUAAGUUCCGACCUGCACGAAUGGCGUAAUGAUGGCCAGGCUGUCUCCACCCGAGACUCAGUGAAAUUGAACUCGCUGUGAAGAUGCAGUGUACCCGCGGCAAGACGGAAAGACCCCGUGAACCUUUACUAUAGCUUGACACUGAACAUUGAGCCUUGAUGUGUAGGAUAGGUGGGAGGCUUUGAAGUGUGGACGCCAGUCUGCAUGGAGCCGACCUUGAAAUACCACCCUUUAAUGUUUGAUGUUCUAACGUGGACCCGUAAUCCGGGUUGCGGACAGUGUCUGGUGGGUAGUUUGACUGGGGCGGUCUCCUCCUAAAGAGUAACGGAGGAGCACGAAGGUUGGCUAAUCCUGGUCGGACAUCAGGAGGUUAGUGCAAUGGCAUAAGCCAGCUUGACUGCGAGCGUGACGGCGCGAGCAGGUGCGAAAGCAGGUCAUAGUGAUCCGGUGGUUCUGAAUGGAAGGGCCAUCGCUCAACGGAUAAAAGGUACUCCGGGGAUAACAGGCUGAUACCGCCCAAGAGUUCAUAUCGACGGCGGUGUUUGGCACCUCGAUGUCGGCUCAUCACAUCCUGGGGCUGAAGUAGGUCCCAAGGGUAUGGCUGUUCGCCAUUUAAAGUGGUACGCGAGCUGGGUUUAGAACGUCGUGAGACAGUUCGGUCCCUAUCUGCCGUGGGCGCUGGAGAACUGAGGGGGGCUGCUCCUAGUACGAGAGGACCGGAGUGGACGCAUCACUGGUGUUCGGGUUGUCAUGCCAAUGGCACUGCCCGGUAGCUAAAUGCGGAAGAGAUAAGUGCUGAAAGCAUCUAAGCACGAAACUUGCCCCGA